rnacentral:rRNA from 1 species
GUUAAGCGACUAAGCGUACACGGUGGAUGCCCUGGCAGUCAGAGGCGAUGAAGGGCGUGCUAAUCUGCGAUAAGCGCCGGUAAGGUGAUAUGAACCGUUAUAACCGGCGAUACCCGAAUGGGGAAACCCAGUGUGAUUCGUCACACUAUCAUUAACUGAAUCCAUAGGUUAAUGAGGCGAACCGGGGGAACUGAAACAUCUAAGUACCCCGAGGAAAAGAAAUCAACCGAGAUUCCCCCAGUAGCGGCGAGCGAACGGGGAGGAGCCCAGAGCCUGAAUCAGCAUGUGUGUUAGUGGAAGCGUCUGGAAAGGCGCGCGAUACAGGGUGACAGCCCCGUACACAAAAGCGCAUGUGCUGUGAGCUCGAUGAGUAGGGCGGGACACGUGGUAUCCUGUCUGAAUAUGGGGGGACCAUCCUCCAAGGCUAAAUACUCCUGACUGACCGAUAGUGAACCAGUACCGUGAGGGAAAGGCGAAAAGAACCCCGGCGAGGGGAGUGAAAAAGAACCUGAAACCGUGUACGUACAAGCAGUGGGAGCACCCUUUUGGGUGUGACUGCGUACCUUUUGUAUAAUGGGUCAGCGACUUAUAUUCUGUAGCAAGGUUAACCGAAUAGGGGAGCCGGAGGGAAACCGAGUCUUAAUUGGGCGUUAAGUUGCAGGGUAUAGACCCGAAACCCGGUGAUCUAGCCAUGGGCAGGUUGAAGGUUGGGUAACACUAACUGGAGGACCGAACCGACUAAUGUUGAAAAAUUAGCGGAUGACCUGUGGCUGGGGGUGAAAGGCCAAUCAAACCGGGAGAUAGCUGGUUCUCCCCGAAAGCUAUUUAGGUAGCGCCUCGUGAAUUCAUCUCCGGGGGUAGAGCACUGUUUCGGCUAGGGGGCCAUCCCGGCUUACCAACCCGAUGCAAACUGCGAAUACCGGAGAAUGUUAUCACGGGAGACACACGGCGGGUGCUAACGUCCGUCGUGAAGAGGGAAACAACCCAGACCGCCAGCUAAGGUCCCAAAGUCAUGGUUAAGUGGGAAACGAUGUGGGAAGGCACAGACAGCCAGGAUGUUGGCUUAGAAGCAGCCAUCAUUUAAAGAAAGCGUAAUAGCUCACUGGUCGAGUCGGCCUGCGCGGAAGAUGUAACGGGGCUAAACCAUGCACCGAAGCUGCGGCAGCGACGUUUAUGCGUUGUUGGGUAGGGGAGCGUUCUGUAAGCCUGCGAAGGUGGCCUGUGAGGG